GCCGGGGAAAGGCAGUCUCCCAGUAGACAGAAAACACCUGAAGCUGCUGAUCAGUAGCUUCCCGAUAAAAUCUCAGCAGCUGGGUAAGCGGGCUCAAGCAUGCGCACUAAGAGGCAAAAUGGUGGAGUUUAACUGGUGUUUGACCUUCCUCUAGGAACGCUUGACUGGGUUCCUGGUCACUGGACAACCAAGUGAAAGCAGAGUUCAGAGGAAAAUCUUCAGGUCCCGUGGGAAGAUCUCCGUUAUCUCUUUGAUGAGAUCAUGUAUGGAGGCCACAUCACAGAUGACGGGGAUUGCAAACUGUGUCGGGUCUAUUUAGAAGAAUUCAUGAAUCCAUCUCUGCUAGCUGCCAUGUCAGGAACACAUGCAUGUGGUGAAAAACAGAGACUUCCAGCCAACAGCCAUGUGAGCGAGCCAUCUUGGAAGUGGAUCCUCCAGCCCCAGUCAAGCCUUCAGAUGACUGCAGCUUUGGCCAACAUCUUGACUGCAACUUCCUGAGAGACCCUGAGCAAGAAUCACACCAUGAAGAUGUUCCUAGUUUUCUGAUUCUCAGAAACUGGCUGCCAUGUGAAGAAGGACAUGUUUGCUUCCACUUCUGCCAUGAUUGUAAGUUUCCUAAGGCCUCCCCAGCCAUGUGGAACUGUAAGUCAAUUCAAUCUCUUUCCUUUAUAAAUUACCCAAUCUCUGGUUUGUCCUUAUAGCAGUGUGAGAAUGGACUAAUACAGGGUCUGUGUUGGGCAGGAAGGACAUGAAGAGAGGAAGGGCUGGUAGAGAGAAUGCAGAGUAGUCAUAAGACACGAGACUCCUCUGAUGGUCGACUUUGCCUUGAGAACUCAGAUGACCUUGCCAGAAUCUUCUUAGGUAGCUUGGAACUCUAGAACAUUUCUACUCACCCUUCUUCCUUCUCCCAUUCACUCAAGGCCAGAGCUGCAAUGUGAUCUGACAACUCCCAGCCUUACAAGGUUCUCUUCCGAUUUUCUCUCACAGGGAUUUUCCCUAAUAAAAUCCUUACACAUUUAAUCCUGCCUUAAUGACUGCUUCUUGGAGGACCCAGACUAACACAGCAAGUCAAGUGGGAGGGAUGUGGUGGCUAGGACACUUAUCGUACUGAGCAAAACCUGCCUCAGGGAGUGGCAGCUCUGAGAAAAUGCAGGAAAGCGAACCAAACCACUGGUUACU